AGGAUGAACGCUGGCGGCGUGCCUAACACAUGCAAGUCGAACGUCCUGUCUCGCAAGAGGCAGGGAGUGGCGGACGGGUGAGUACCACGUGGGUCAUCUACCGUGAGGUGAGGAAUACCGGCGAGAAAUCGCCGACAAGACCGCAUAGGCUCGAUGCAAGUCGAGCAAAGCUCUUUCGAGAGAGGGAGCGCCACACGAGGAGCCUGCGCCCGAUUAGCUAGCUGGUGGAGUAACGGUUCACCAGGGCGACGAUCGGUAGCUGGUCUGAGAGGACGAUCAGCCACACUGGGAUUGAGAACGGCCCAGACUCCUACGGGGGGCAGCAGUGAGGAAUUUUCGUCAAUGGGGGCAACCCUGAACGAGCAACGCCGCGUGCAGGAAGAAGGUUUCGGAUCGUAAACUGCUUUUCUCGGGGAAGAGAAUGGACGGUACCCGAGGAAUCAGCCCGGCUAACUACGUGCCAGCAGCCGCGGU
rnacentral:rRNA from 1 species